GUGAUGUAUCAUCUCCAAGCAGGGCAGGAGCAGGAGCUCAUAUGAUUCCAGCUGUCUUUCGUCAAGUAAUCUCUGUACACAUCAGCUUCCCUUCGCCCUCCACCAUCAGUGGAAGCAGCCUGAAGCCCUCAGCAGAAGCAAGUGCUGAUGCCAUGCUACCUGUGCAGCCUGUAGAACUGUGACCCAAGUAAUAAACGUUUUCUUUCUUUCUUUCUUUCUUUUUUUUUUUUUUUUUUUUUUUUUUUGAGACAGGGUCUCUCUCUGUUGUCCAGACUGGAGUGUAUCCGUUUUCUUUCUAAAUUGCCCAACCUCAGGUAUUCCUUCAUAGGAACAUGAACAUAUUAAGGCCGCCAAAUACUAACCAUUUAGACUUUACAAUUAGUAUUGCCAAAUACUAACCAUUUAAAUUUUACAAUUAGUAUUUAUUUACAAUUGUAGCCACCUAUCUGUCCCGCUAUUCAUGUAUUAACCAAUUUUACUUUCUGAUGUUUUAACAGUAAGUUGCUGACAUCAGUACACCCCUAAAUGCUUCGGCAAGCACGUAAUUUUGAGUAUAAUAUGUUAUAUUUUUUCCCUUUAAAGGUAAAAUUCACAUACAAUAAGAUGCACAAGAUGUAAGUUUAUCUUUUGAUAAGUUUUGACCAUGUACAUACCUGUGUAAUCCAAGCCUCUAAAAAGAUAGAGAAUAUUUUUAUCACUCCGGAAAACUCCUGAUGCUGCUUUCUAGUCAAUCCCCACCUGACCCGCCCUAAUGCAAUUACUACUCUGAUCUUUUUCUGCCAUAAGUUAUACUUGCUCUAGAACUUUAUAGAAACAAAAGCAUUUGGCAUACAUACCAUACUUUUUUAAAAUAAAGCUUCUAUUACCAAAAUAUUUUGAGAUUCAUUCAUGUUGUAGUUCAUUUUCUUCUUUUUCUUUCUUUCUUUCUUUCUUUCUUUUUUCUUUCUUUCUUUCUUUCUUCUUUCAUUUAUUUUUAUUUAUUUAUUAAGAGACAGAGUUUUC
rnacentral:lncRNA from 1 species